rnacentral:rRNA from 1 species
GACGAACGCUGGCGGCGUGCUUAACACAUGCCAGUCGAACGGAAAGGCCCUGCUUUUGUGGGGUGCUCGAGUGGCGAACGGGUGAGUAACACGUGAGUAACCUGCCCUUGACUUUGGGAUAACUUCAGGAAACUGGGGCUAAUACCGGAUAGGAGCUCCUGCUGCAUGGUGUGGGUUGGAAAGUUUCGGCUGUUGGGGAUGGUCUCGCGGCUUAUCAGCUUGUUGGUGGGGUAGUGGCUUACCAAGGCUUUGACGGGUAGCCGGCCUGAGAGGGUGACCGGCCACAUUGGGACUGAGAUACGGCCCAGACUCCUACGGGAGGCAGCAGUGGGGAAUAUUGCACAAUGGGCGGAAGCCUGAUGCAGCAACGCCGCGUGCGGGAUGACGGCCUUCGGGUUGUAAACCGAUUUCGCCUGUGACGAAGCGUGAGUGACGGUAAUGGGUAAAGAAGCACCGGCUAACUACGUG